GGGCGUGGAGUUGCGAAGGGGCCAUGGCAGAGGGCGUGGCGGAGCUGAAGGCGCUCACCUGGUGGGUCAGGAAACAGCAGGGCAGACCGUUGUCUCAGGUCAAGCCCCGCCUCCCGGCAGCAAACCUGCAUUCCACCGCAUUAUCCGCUCAAUUUCCGAGCCCAGAGGCUGUGAGGCCGUGGUAGGUCUAAACCACGACGUCUGUCUUCCUUUGUAUUGGACCCAACGUGAAACUGCUCCUCUGCAUGCCGUGGUUCUUCAUAUGCGAUUCAGGGUGGCCUUAAACUCACUAUGGAACGCUGGCCUGGACCUCACUGUGAUCCUCCUGCCUCAGCCUCCCGAGUGAAGGGAUUACAGGAUAAAAAGAUACGAAGAAGAAGCGGAAGAGGAGGAGGAGGAAGAAAAGAAGGAGAAGGAGGAGGAAGAGAAGAAAAAGAAUAGAAGGAAGAAGACUGCAACAAAAUUUCAAAGCACACUGAAGAAGAAGAAAACUACAGAAAAUUUCCAAACAUGUCAAUUGGGGGCAACAAUGGUACAUACAUUGUGCUCUGUAGGAUUGUUUUCUCUAAUUCUGCAAGAUACGUGAUUAGAAUUUUGAUAGAGAUUGCAUCAAAUUUGUGUAACAAUUUUGGGAGUAUGGCCAUUUUCACGAUGUUGGUUCUUCCUACCCAGGAAGAAGGAACCUCUUUUCAUUUUCUGGUAUCCUCUUCAAUCUCCUUUUACAGAGUGACCGGCGCAGCUCCAAUGAAACAGGAGACAGGAGACGCUUUUGUGGACAACAGUUAACUGCUAGUUUAUUUACGCGGGCUCUGGUUUAUAUAUUUGGCCGUGACCAAUCACAGGCUGCCACAAGGAAGCAGGGCGGGAAUGGGAUGCAGGCUCCGGCUACCAUGUCCAGCUGUGGCCAAUCAGGAGUUGCCACAGAGUACGGAGUGAGCACGAAGUGCGCAUGGGUUGGCUAAUUUAAAGAGGGACGCAGCGCAUUGCGGAAGCUGGCGUGGUCCUUAGUCCCGGGUGGGGUAUGGUAUGUUGAGCGCCUGCGCCCAACACAGAGUACUGUAGUUUUCAACUUAGAGGUCUUCUAUAUUUUUUGCUAAAUUGAUUCCUAGGUGUUUCAUUAUUGGGGGGAUGUUAUUUUAAAAGGUGUCACUUCCCUAAUUUCUUUCUCAGUGAGUUUGUUGUUUGUGUACAGGAAGGCUAUUGAUUUUUUUUUCUCCUCAUUGAGAGAUUCAAGGCUAUUGAUUUUUGAUGGUAUCCAGGGCCUUCACACUAAGCUAUAUCUCAGAUUUUUAAAAUAUUUUUUGUUUUGAGGCCGGGCCUUAUAAGUUGUUGGUGUCAGACUUGCAGUCCUCUAGAAUGCUGGGAUUCUAGGAAAUUACCUACUGAUAAAGCGAUUCACCAGUUGCUGCUUCUCUGAAAGGCUUUGCUCCAUCUUUAUUAUAAAAGCAAUUCAACGAGUAUUCAUUUGGCUCUGGCCCUGACCUUUAUUUUGUGUUCCCUGUCAGUUUAUAUUUUGAUCCCUAGUAUUGGAACUCAUCUCUGUAUUCAAGAUAAUUUUCCACCUAUUAAUGAUUUUAGAGGGAGGCAGCAUGUGCUUAUCAUUAUAAAGCUGAAGGCAACAUUCAUCUUUCCAGUGUCCCUUGCAGCUAUGGAUACGUGAUCUAGGCUUAGCUAAUCUUUUUUUCUCUUUGAGGUCUUACUAUGUAGUCCAGGCUGGUUUUGAACUUGCAGAAGUGCUCCUGCCUCGGCUUCCCAGUUGCUGAGACUUCAGGCAUGCACUACAUGCCUGGCUUGGCUUAACUAGUCUUUGGCACCCACCUGUGACUGAACCAGUUGCUGGUUUGCCCAAGAGGUAGAAAGUCCUCUUUGGUGUAGAGGGGUACUGUAGACGUGUUGCUAUUCAGGAUGUGGGGCAGUGGGUACAGUGGUGGUUGGGAAUCCUGUGGUCUGUUUCUCAAGCUCCAUUCCCUGAUGGUGAUAUCAUGGCACAAUCCCUGGCACCCAUGGUCUAACGGUUGUGAUGCUUUGUCUCCCUGAGCUGACUGUGGGGCUUGACUAAUAACUGGUCUUUCUUAUGCCUGCUAAGUUUCUGGGCCUAGUUCUUCAGAUAGUUUAGGGAUUAGGAAAGUUGUCAAGUAACUUUCUGUUUUAAAAUUUUACAUAGAGGCUUGGGUAUGGUAGGACGUACCUCUUAGCACAUGGGAGGCUGAAGCAGGAGGUGGGCUGUGAACUCAAGUCCAGCCUGGUCUACACAGUGAGAGCCUAUUAAAACUUUUUAAACCUUAAACAAAUUCACUCCAUGCGGUGUGUCCUUCUACAGCUUUGGACACUGUAUGAAGUAGUGCACUGGUUACUGCUGUCCUGACAGCUGCCCCCGGCUGCCCACCUCCCUCUACUCCUUCCCCAUGCUGAUUUCAAUCCCUGUGGUCCUCUUUUGCCCAGAAUCCUAGAAUAUUAACCAGUGACCUCUUAAUGCUGUUACAGGACAUUAUAAUAUUUACAAUAAAUAAGAAUAAAUUUAUUUUCUGUUUAAAAUAACACCUAGAACUCAUCACAGGCUCAGCAUUUGCACUGUUUUCUCCUCUCUGCCAUCUUCAUGAACCUGGGCUUCUUAGACGAGGCUUCCUGGACCACGCUAAUAUCAUAGUGCAGGAUCCUUGUUGUGUGAAUAAAGGUGCAGAGCCCUGAGGAUGGAUUAAGGAGCCCAGAGCUGCACUGGGAGCUGACGGAAGGGCCACAGUCGAGGCACACAUUUUCUGACCCCAGCCUGCAUGAUGGGGAUUUUGACAAGUGUGUCUCUCACACACACUUAGCUGAAUCUUUGUUUAAAUGACUUUGGUGACACUAGCCAGUGCUUUUUGUUUGACUGCAGUAGAUUAAGGCACCCGAGAAACAGGUCUUGGCAGAGCAGUGCUCUGCUGGGUGUAAAUUCUGCGUUCCCUUAUCCGUUCUUCUGCUGCUGGAUACACGGGCUGCUUUCAGGAUGCAUUUACUAU